AGAACGCACACAGCGCGACGUCAAACUACAUCCCCCAGAAGGCCCUCCGCAAACCGUGACGUCAGAGCAGCGCGACGGCACACCCUCCUCAGAGUUACUCUGGUUUCCUUAGGAACCGCUUGAUACAGACUGGGUGCCUCUUAUCCGAAAUGCUUGGGACCAGAAUGGAUUUGAAUUACAUAGGGAGUCAAAGUCGAAAACACCUGGAGGGCCAAGGUUUACCCAUGCCUGCUCUACAGGCCAGUGGAUACUCCACCACCGGCAUCAGACCAAGAACAAGCCACCAAAGUAAAGACAAAGACCCACCCAAAGGAAAAGUGUUCUUGCCAUACAUCAAGGGAACCACUGACCGCAAGGGGAUGGUGAUGAAGAAACAUAACCUAGUAAAAGACCCACCAAGAAAAUCCAAGAAAUGCUUCGUUCAGCAAAGGACAAGAGGUAUCCUCUCACCAAUGCAGGAGUCUACUGUAUACCAUGCAGCUGUGAACAAGUCUACGUAGGGACCCCCAAACCCAGCAUUGCCCAAACACGAAUCAAGGAACAUGAAAGGCACUGCAGACUAACUCAGCCAGAGACGUCUGCCAUAGCAGAGCCCUUGUUGAACCAACCUGGACACAGCAUAUUAUUGGAGAACACAGAAAUGUUGGACCACUCUAACAACCACUAUGUCAGGCUACACAGAAAAGCCACUGAAAUCCACAAGCAUGUGUGGACAAUUCCAACAGAAAGGAGGAAACCAUGACAAUGAACAAAAUCUGGCUACCAGUAUUAUAAAAAAAAACCCUCUAAAAUCAGGACAGGAAAUAAAGAACAACACUCAGAAAACAGUGGAAUUCCAGAAAGGAAACAAUCAGGGCCAGCUAACACCUCCCAACAAAGGAUUUCCCCAGGCAGGAAUCACCAGGCUUUGAAUCUGCAAGGCCAUUAAAUACUAAUCAAGGUGAUAAAUUGCAACAUUCACACAUGCCUCAAACAGACAAGAGUUUUUUCUCCCACCCUGGACAUUCCAGAGAUAUAUAAACCCCACUUGCCUUGUUUCCAACAGACCUCAUAACUUUUGAGAAUGCCUGCCAUAGAUGCAGGUGAAACGUCAGGAAAGAAUUCUUCUGGAACGUGGCCUUACAGCCCGGAAAACUCUCAGCAAACCCUUUUUGAAUUACCUUUUGUUCCCCCGGAUUUUGGAAUAUCUGUGUACAGAAGAUAUAUCUUGAAGGGAUGCAAGACUGAACACAGAUCUUACUUACCCUGUUUCCCCUAAAAUAAGACAUCCCCAGAAAAUAAGACCUAGUAGAGGUUUUGCUGAAUUGCUAAAUAUAAGGCCUCCCCCGAAAGUAAGACCUAGAAACGUUUUUUUUGGAAGCAUGCCCGCCGAACAGAACACCAGAGCAUGCAGGAUCGGUAAAUGUACAUACCAUAAAGUGUUGUACAUGGAAAUAUUGGUAGUAACAAGAAAUUCUUGAUAGGAUUCACAGUUUGUCUGGUUAUGCUGGUUUAUGAUGACAACUACUGUACAGUAUAUAAUAAAUGUUCAUUUUUUUGUUCAAAUGUGAAUUUUUCUUCAUGGAAAAAUAAGACAUCCCCUGAAAAUAAGACCUAGAGCAUCUUUGGGAGCAAAAAUUAAUAUAAGACACUGUCAUAUUUUCGGGGAAACACGGUAUGUACAUUGACACACAUACCUGCCUGAAGUUUAUUUAUUUAUUUACCUGUACUUUGUUUUACAUCCUGCCCUCUCUCUCAUUGAGGGACUCAGAAUGGCUAACAUAUGGCAUAAAUCGAUAUCUUUCAACAAUCAUUUUGUUCAGAAAACGAAGUUUGUGUACAAUGAACGCUAGAAAACAAAGCUCAUUUGGGUUGCUGUGAGUGUUCUGGACUGUAUGGCUAUGUUCAGAAGCAUUUUCUUCUGAAGUUUUGCCCACAUCUCUGGCAGGCAUCCUCAGAGGUUGUGAGGCUUGUUGGAAACUAGGUAAGUGGGGUUUAUGUAUCAGUGGAAUGUCCAGCGUGUAAGAAAAAAGCUCUUGUCUGCCUGAAAGUUGCAAUUGGUCACAUUGAUUAGCAUUGAAUAGCCUUGUAGCUUCAAAGCCUGGCUGCUUCCUGCCUGGGGGAAUCCUCUGUUGGAGGUGUUAAUUGGCCCUGAUUGUUUAAUACCUGGAAUUUCCAUUUUUGGCAAGAAGAAGCCAGGCUUUGAAGCUGAAAGGCUAUUCAAUACUAAUCAAGAUGGCCAACUGCAACAUUCACACUUGUCUCAGGCAGAAGAGUUCUUUCUCCCAUCCUGAAUACUGUAGGAUUAGGGGGGAUACGACUUUUAAAGGCCAUUUUAAUGUAUUUAAUGUAUUUUAAUUCUGAUUUACCACACUGUUAUUAUUUAAUUAUUUUUUUAACUUUUGAAUUGCUCUUUUUAAACUGUUUAGUGUGGAUAAAUGUUAGCAGCCUUCCCCAAGGUGAAUUGGAUCAGGAGUGACAACUUUGUGGUGCGCACAUGACACUUAGUUCAUUUGCCUUAAUGUGGCCUUGUCCCACCUUUUAAAAAGUUUCAGGAUGCUUCAGGGAAGCUCUGCAACUAGCCUGUUAUAGGCCAGUGUAAACAGUUGAGCCACUUUCUAGUUGGAUGUGGCUAUAGUAGUUCUCACCACCACACCACAUUCCUCCGGCUGGGGAAUCUCAGGGAGAGGAGUUGGUGAUUACCUUUCCUUGCCAUUAUGGCCUUUGCAGUGACUGCCAGACACAAAUAUUGCAUUAGUUGGCACUCUGCACCUGAAGCAACAAGGUGAUUGGAGAAAGGGGGGAGGGAAAGAGGGAGCUGAGUGGUGAACACUGCCAUUUUUUUAAUGUUUGGUGAUUGCCAUUAAGAGUAAUCAACAGGAGUAAGAGUGGUAGUCUGGUGGCACUGAACCAGUUCCAGCACCACUAGGCCAUGUGGAUGCCAAUCAGUCACCAGCUUGUGGCUGCACAAUUCAGACUUGUCAGUUCCUGAACUGGCCGAGUGGCUGUCCAUGUGGGCUCUGAUACCCCACUCCUGAUAAGCAUCACCAUUUGUGACGUGUAGAUGGGCCCCUACUGUGCCUUGCCAAUGUUGAAUAAAGAAACCCUGUGACACCAUAAUGUAGAUGGCAUUUUAUGAUAGUUUAAUGACCUAGGUCAAAUUUAGUCAUACUGUACUUACAGUUCAGCCACUAUAUUCAAUGAAACUGUUACUGAUUUCAGUGAGUCUAAACUUAUAACUAAGUGUAGACCCAAAUAAAAUUAUUUCCAAUUUUUUUUUGUGAGAAUAGGUAGUGGGAAACAUGCAUAUAGCCAUUUAGCAAAUAGCAGAUUGCCAUAUAGCAGAUGACAAAUUUCUCUAAGUAUGUAAAUAUAAAUUAGUACAGUGUUCCCUCACUACUUCGCAGUUCGCUUUUUGCGGAAUUGCUGUUUUGCGGUUUUUUAGUAAACACUAAAAUAUUAUAAAUCAAAAAAAAUAUGAUUUACAGUGGAGGUGGUCUCAAUCGGGUGUGGGCGGUGGGGCAGAGAAGGAGCCCAAAUGACAGCGGGAGGAGGCGGCACCAUGUUCCCCUGCCUCUUUCUUCCCUUCCUCCCUCUUUGUACUUCCUUCCUAAGGAAAAGCCUAGUGUCCCUACUUGGCAGAUUUCCACUUAUUGCGGGUGGUCCUGGAACGUAACCCCCGCGAUAAGUGAGGGAACACUGUAUACAAUUUCUCAAAUUGUAACAAAGAAUACAAAAAAAAGUUCCUAGCAAAACUUUGGCAAUAUUAACAAAACAUUUAGGACUUUUAGACUAAAGGGUUAGACCAGAUAGAGAUUCAACCAGUCUUGUGACUUUCCAGAAGUUAGACUGCAACUCUUAACAGAACAAAUGGUGAGGGGUAUUGCAAUCCAACAUUUGUAGAAUUGGAAGGAAAUACCUGGACGCUGUUGGAAAUGGAAGUCUGAACUGCAUUCUUUUUAAAAUAAACUCUUGCACAUCUUAA